GGUGAAUCAUAAUAACUUAACGAAUCGCAUGGCCUUGCGCCGGCGAUGGUUCAUUCAAAUUUCUGCCCUAUCAACUUUCGAUGGUAGGAUAGUGGCCUACCAUGGUGGCAACGGGUAACGGGGAAUUAGGGUUCGAUUCCGGAGAGGGAGCCUGAGAAACGGCUACCACAUCCAAGGAAGGCAGCAGGCGCGCAAAUUACCCAAUCCCGAUACGGGGAGGUAGUGACAAUAAAUACUGAUACGGGGCUCUUUUGGGUCUCGUAAUUGGAAUGAGAACAAUUUAAAUCCCUUAACGAGGAACAAUUGGAGGGCAAGUCUGGUGCCAGCAGCCGCGGUAAUUCCAGCUCCAAUAGCGUAUAUUAAAGUUGUUGCAGUUAAAAAGCUCGUAGUUGAACCUUGGGUCUGGCUGGUCGGUCCGCCUCACCGCGAGUACUGAUCCGGCUGGACCUUUCCUUCUGGGGAACCUCAUGGCCUUCACUGGCUGUGGGGGGAACCAGGACUUUUACUGUGAAAAAAUUAGAGUGUUCAAAGCAGGCCUUUGCUCGAAUACAUUAGCAUGGAAUAAUAGAAUAGGACGUGUGGUUCUAUUUUGUUGGNUUCUAGGACCGCCGUAAUGAUUAAUAGGGAUAGUCGGGGGCGUCAGUAUUCAGCUGUCAGAGGUGAAAUUCUUGGAUUUUGCUGAAGACUAACUACUGCGAAAGCAUUCGCCAAGGAUGUUUUCAUUAAUCANGGAACCAA
rnacentral:rRNA from 1 species